rnacentral:rRNA from 1 species
GAUGAACGCUGGCGGCGUGCCUAAUACAUGCAAGUCGAACGCAUAGCGAAAGGUGCUUGCACCUUUCAAGUGAGUGGCGAACGGGGGAGUAACACGUGGACAACCUGCCUCAAGGCUGGGGAUAACAUUUGGAAACAGAUGCUAAUACCGAAUAAAACUUAGUGUCGCAUGACACAAAGUUAAAAGGCGCUUCGGCGUCACCUAGAGAUGGAUCCGCGGUGCAUUAGUUAGUUGGUGGGGUAAAGGCCUACCAAGACAAUGAUGCAUAGCCGAGUUGAGAGACUGAUCGGCCACAUUGGGACUGGGACACGGCCCAAACUCCUGCGGGAGGCUGCAGUAGGGAAUCUUCCACAGUGGGCGAAAGCCUGAUGGAGCAACGCCGCGUGUGUGAUGAAGGCUUUCGGGUCGUAAAGCACUGUUGUAUGGGAAGAACAGCUAGAAUAGGAAAUGAUUUUAGUUUGACGGUACCAUACCAGAAAGGGACGGCUAACUACGUG